GGGGAUAACACUUGGAAACAGGUGCUAAUACCGUAUAACACUAUUUUCCGCAUGGAAGAAAGUUGAAAGGCGCUUUUGCGUCACUGAUGGAUGGACCCGCGGUGCAUUAGCUAGUUGGUGAGGUAACGGCUCACCAAGGCCACGAUGCAUAGCCGACCUGAGAGGGUGAUCGGCCACACUGGGACUGAGACACGGCCCAGACUCCUACGGGAGGCAGCAGUAGGGAAUCUUCGGCAAUGGACGAAAGUCUGACCGAGCAACGCCGCGUGAGUGAAGAAGGUUUUCGGAUCGUAAAACUCUGUUGUUAGAGAAGAACAAGGAUGGGAGUAGAACGUUCAUCCCUUGACGGUAUCUAACCAGAAAGCCACGGCUAACUACGUGCCAGCAGCCGCGGUAAUACGUAGGUGGCAAGCGUUGUCCGGAUUUAUUGGGCGUAAAGCGAGCGCAGGCGGUUUCUUAAGUCUGAUGUGAAAGCCCCCGGCUCAACCGGGGAGGGUCAUUGGAAACUGGGAGACUUGAGUGCAGAAGAGGAGAGUGGAAUUCCAUGUGUAGCGGUGAAAUGCGUAGAUAUAUGGAGGAACACCAGUGGCGAAGGCGGCUCUCUGGUCUGUAACUGACGCUGAGGCUCGAAAGCGUGGGGAGCGAACAGGAUUAGAUACCCU
rnacentral:rRNA from 1 species